GAUUAACGCUAGCGGCAGGCCUAAUACAUGCAAGUCGAGGGGUAACAGGUGUAGCAAUACAUGCUGACGACCGGCGCACGGGUGCGUAACACGUAUGCAAUCUAUCUUUAACUGUGGAACAACUCCGCGAAAGCGGAGCUAAUACCGCAUAAUAUCAUGAGGCGGCAUCACCUUAUGAUUAAACUUCUGGGGGGUUAUUGAUGAGCAUGCGUCCGAUUAGCUAGUUGGCGGGGUAACAGCCCACCAAGGCAACGAUCGGGUAGGGGGUCUGAGAGGACGAUCCCCCACACUGGUACUGAGACACGGACCAGACUCCGUAC
rnacentral:rRNA from 1 species